ACAAAAGACCGAUAGAAGAACACACGAUGCCAGAAAACUGGCCGGGCUACGAAGUUCCAUUAAAAUCUCCGUGGAGACAUCAAGAGGACAGCAAACACAGAUGACUGCCGCUGUGAUGCAGAGGCUGACUGGACCGCUCCGUAAUCAGUCACCUAUGCAGAAAGAUGCUGAUACUACAGGCACCGAAGGAUCACACCUAGGAGAAGAGAAGAACAGUGUAUGUGGCAGGGAAAACACUGACUUCUCGAGUGCCUUUGUCCUGGUGAUGAAGUGACGGCAGACAGAGGCUUUACCAUCUGAGAUCUGCUGUUUGAGAGGAGAUUUAACCUUGUUCUACCAGCAUUCACCCAUAAAAGGAGGGCAGUUGUCUGAUGAGGAUGUAACCGCAGCAAGGAAGAUUGCAAAUGUCCACAUACAUGUGGAAAGAGUUAUCAGGAGGCUCAGAGUUUUGACAAUAAUCCCCCAGACUGUAACUCUCAACUUGGUAAAUAAAAUGGACAAAAUCUUUUGUCCGUGCAGCCCCUUAGAACAUGCAGGAGAUCAUCCACGAGGAUGCUGAUUGAGCGGAGAAGUUUACAUGUCAAAAAGAUCCUGAUUAGUUAUAUUCUACUGUAAAUCAGUGCAAUUAUAAUACACUAGAAUGUGUUUUGGAUUUCUGCUUUUAAAUAUUUCUUUGUGUAGCACCUUGAGGUUUUACAUUUGGAAUUACUUUUAAUUUUU